rnacentral:tRNA from 1 species
GCGCCCGUAGCUCAGUUCGGAUAGAGCGUUGGGUUGCGGACCCAAAGGCCGCAGGUUCAAGUACUGCCGGGAGUACCA